CAAUUCAUGCCACUACCCCCCACCCCACCCCACCCCGCCACUUUCCCCCCUUGGUGUCCAUACGUUUGUUCUCUACGUCUGUCUGACUCAAUACUCUUAAAGAAGAAAAGUGCUUGUGUUGGCUGGGAAGGUAGCUCCACAUGUGAAACUGCUCAGGAAGUUGUGUGGUUUAGAUUCGAGUCUAGUAGAGAAGUGUUUCUGAAACUGAUCUUCUUAAGUGGUGUUAAUUUGGCUGAGGAGAUAAAUUCAACGUUGUUUGAAACAUGAGGGACAGUUUAAUUUGAGACAGGUGCACCAGAGCUUUUAGAAGCCGUGUUCCUGAAGGUGGUGCCCAGGGUCAGGGUGUAACACUGUCACCUGGAGACCAUGGGUUCUUACACCUCAGAAGUGAUUCAUCGCCCGAUUUUGUGUGCUUCAUCUUGAACCUGCCCUCUGCUAAUGCUGUCAAAUCUAUGCAGUGGGUCCACUACCUGCCUUCGUGUGAGUUCAUACUCUCUUGGCUCUGACUAGGAAAUUAGGGCCUUGGAAACUUAGUAGGAAAAGGAAAAUCUAACGUACUAAGACAUCCUACUUUCCUCUAAUUGAUUCCUAUCUUUGAUUAAAGACGUUACUUUAGUAAUAGUAGGGGGUUCUAUCUGUGGCUUAAAAGAUGAACUCAGGACAAACCGCUUCUUUCACUCUGUUCACAAAGGCCUUUUUUUGGUUUGUGGCUGCAGCUGCUAUUUUCAGUGCCGGGCUGCAUCGAUGCGUUGCACAUUUUUAUAUGCUUCUUAAUUUGGUGUGCAGGUUGAUUUGGGAGCCUGGGUUGAGAGGUGGGAGGAGUGCUGGUGAUGAAUUUUGCAAGUAAAAACACCAAAAUGGUGUGUCACAGCCACCUCACUUUACUCCAGUGAAUUUCUAGGUGCAAGAUUGGAUAUCGAUUGUCUCUUGACUGUAGUCAGUGGACUGUACUACAUGACCAGGUUACAGGACAAACAGCCACAGUCAGAUUCCAUGCUCCAGUGGGGGCCCUGAGACACAGUAGCCAGUAACCUUGACCAAGGGCUCAAACUUGGCAUCUUCACCCUGAGGAUUAUUGAUCUGUGAUCUGAGGCAUACCUGACAAGCCAAGGGGAUCUCCCCAGGAAAGGAAGCUGCUUGAGAAACUGAAGAUCAGAAGUUGAUUGCUAAGAAUACACCAGAGCCUCAGAGUCAGUGGCACAAAGAGAGGCUUCUGUCAAGCCGUGACUGUCCCGAAUCCCCUGUCUGCACGGAUGAGGAAAUCUGAAGUUCGGGGAGAAUAAAUGGUUUACCAAGGUCAGAGGACUAGUGUUAAUCAUAAGAAAUGACUUCCAUAAAUGGUAUUUUCCUGGAGCACAGAAGAGCAGGACUUCUCGGGAGGAUGUUACAGAGCAGGUAACCCUUGGGCAGGGUCUUGGAAGAUGAGUUUACCAAGUGGAUGGGGAUGGGAUGAUGGUGUCCAGCCAAAGAAAUGGAAUUUCACAAAGACCCAUUUAUGGGGGAAGAGCAGCAAAUGGACAGGAUCAUGGCUGUUCUGGAAGGAUGGUACAUGGGACAGUUCUCUGAGAAAGAAAUGGAAAAUUUUAUUGGAGCUAACCUGAGGAUUAUAACCCUGGAGACAGUCUUUCAGAAAACUCUGAGGACUGUUCCAUCAGUUAGAGGUCAAAGCACAGUUAUAUAAGCUUUUGAGACAAAGGGUCUACAUCAAAUGAUGUAGUAUUGACAGUUGACACAAUCCAGACCUACACGUGCACAGUGAGUAGUGGGUCAUGGGUCAUUGUGGCCCCCUACAAGAUUAAGAAGGAAGGUUAUUGCUUAAGAAGGUCUGGUUGAUGCGGAUGCACACUACACACUAAAGGGGAGAGAGGAGGCCCAAACAGGCAAAGAAAAAUUUUGUUUAAAUUUUUCUCGUCUUGCCAUAGAAUAUGAAUUUUACUUCAUCAAUGCCAUAAUUAGGGCUUCAAUCCAGAGAAGAAGGAAGAGACUUCAGGGUAUGGUAGGAGAGCCUCCCAGUUUGAGCCACCCACGGCCAUCCUGUGGGGCCAUCUAGCAGCCAGAUACAAAUCUGAAACCAAGAAAUUGGUGGGAAAGGAUUUCAGUUAGGGAAUCACCCGCAUAAACGUGGUGGUUGGUUGAAGCCAUUGCAGUGGGUGAUAUCUCAGUGAGAGCC